AGCCAUUAGAAAAACAAGUACUAAAGGUAACACCUGCCCAGUGAGUAAUACUUAAACGGCCGCGACUAAACGUGCGAAGGUAGCGCAAUCACUUGUUCCAUAAAUCGGGACCCGUAUGAACGGUCACAUGAAAGAGAAACUGUCUCUUGAAGAAAGCCAGUGAAACUGAUCUGCCUGUACAAAAGCAGGCAUUCUAAAGCCAGACAAAAAGACCCUGUGAAACUUAAAACCAAGCAUUAAACUAAUAAUGCCCAAUUUUUAGUUGGGGCAACUUAAGAAACACAAAACAUCUUUAAACCCCUUAGACCAACAAGACUAAGCAACCAAAAACAAGACCCGGUAUGACCGAUUAACGAAACAAGCUACUCCAGGGAUAACAGCGCCAAAUUCUUUAAGAGUCCAUAUCAACAAGAAUUCUUACGACCUCGAUGUUGGAUCAGGGCACCCAAACAGUGCAGAAGCUGUUAAUGGUUCGUUUGUUCAACGAUUAAAGCCCU
rnacentral:rRNA from 1 species